CAGUUGAGCAGACUGUCUCUGGAAGAAGGGGUGCCUUUGUCAGAAAGGGGUCUCAUGAAGAGAUGGAGAGAUGGAGAUGGAGAGGCAGAGGAAUGAUUUCCUCAAUAAGGGAACCUUCGGUUAGAAGUGGCAUGCCUGUGAACUGCAUCAUCAACCGUGUAGUCAGUCUGACCCGAUGCACAGGCCUCAAUCUCUGUGGUGUUUAAUUGCGUCUGCAAGAAGAGGUGCAAUCUGCUGUCUGAAAGGAGUACGUUGAUCUGCAAUACUCUGCAACACAAAACGAAAACCUUGAAAGGUUUCUGUAAAUAAAUGGAUGAGAUAGCCUGUAAACCAAUAAACUAGUAUUUAGUUCAGUUA